GCUGACAUAGCUCAGGUGGUAGAGCAACGGCAUGGUAAGUCGUAGGUCGAUGGUUCGAGUCCAUUUGUCAGCACCA
rnacentral:tRNA from 11 species